rnacentral:rRNA from 1 species
GACGAACGCUGGCGGCGUGCUUAACACAUGCAAGUCGAACGGACAGACAGAGAGCUUGCUCUCUUGAAGUUAGUGGCGAACGGGUGAGUAACGCGUAAUCAACCUGCCCUUCAGAGGGGGAUAACAACGGGAAACCGUUGCUAAUACCGCGUACGAUUCAUGAACGGCAUCGUUUAUGAAUGAAAGGUGGCCUCUAUGUAUAAGCUAUCGCUGAAGGAGGGGAUUGCGUCUGAUUAGCUAGUUGGAGGGGUAACGGCCCACCAAGGCAAAGAUCAGUGGCCGGUCUGAGAGGAUGAACGGCCACAUUGGGACUGAGACACGGCCCAAACUCCUACGGGAGGCAGCAGUGGGGAAUCUUCCGCAAUGGACGAAAGUCUGACGGAGCAACGCCGCAUGAGUGAUGAAGGUCUUCGGAUUGUAAAGCUCUGUUAAUCGGGACGAAAGAGUUCUGCGUGAAUAAUGCCGAAAAGUGACGGUACCGGAAUAGAAAGCCACGGCUAACUACGUGCCAGCCGCCGCAGUAA